rnacentral:rRNA from 1 species
CCUACGGGCGGCAGCAGUGAGGAAUAUUGCGCAAUGGGCGUAAGCCUGACGCAGCGAAGCCGCGUGAGGGAUGAAGGUCUUCGGAUCGUAAAACUCUGUCAGCAGGGAAGAACGGUCACUGUGCUAAUCAGCAGUGAAUUGACGGUACCUGCAAAGGAAGCACCGGCUAACUCCGUGCCAGCAGCCGCGGUAAUACGGAGGGUGCGAGCGUUAAUCGGAAUUACUGGGCGUAAAGGGAUCGUAGGCGGUAUUUCAAGUAAAGUGUGAAAUCCCCGCGCUCAACGUGGGAACUGCCUUUGAAACUGGCAAACUGGAGUGUGUGAGAGGAUAGUGGAAUUCCAGGUGUAGGAGUGAAAUCCGUAGAUAUCUGGAGGAACAUCAGUGGCGAAGGCGACUAUCUGGCACAUAACUGACGCUGAGGAGCGAAAGCGUGGGUAGCAAACAGGAUUAGAUACCCGAGUAGUC